UACGAAGGGGGCGAGCGUUGUUCGGAAUUACUGGGCGUAAAGGGCGCGCAGGCGGCCCUUGAAGUCAGGCGUGAAAGCCCCGGGCUCAACCUGGGAGGUGCGCUUGAUACUCGAGGGCUUGAGUGCGGGAGAGGAGAGUGGAAUUCCCAGUGUAGAGGUGAAAUUCGUAGAUAUUGGGAAGAACACCGGUGGCGAAGGCGACCAUCUGGACGGAUACUGACGCUGAGACGCGAAAGCGUGGGUAGCAAACAGG
rnacentral:rRNA from 1 species